UGAGGAAUAUUGGUCAAUGGGCGAGAGCCUGAACCAGCCAAAUCGCGUGAAGGAAGACUGCCUUAUGGGUUGUAAACUUCUUUUAUACAGGAAUAAAAAAGGGGACGUGUCCCUUAUUGCAUGUACUGUAUGAAUAAGCAUCGGCUAACUCCGUGCCAGCAGCCGCGGUAAUACGGAGGAUGCGAGCGUUAUCCGGAUUUAUUGGGUUUAAAGGGUGCGCAGGCGGGCUUUUAAGUCAGCGGUGAAAUCUCGGGCUUAACUCCGAAACUGCCGUUGAAACUGGGAGUCUUGAGUAUGGAUGAAGUAGGCGGAAUUCGUUGUGUAGCGGUGACAUGCUUAGAUAUAACGAGGAACUCCGAUUGCGUAGGCAGCUUACUAAGCCAUAACUGACGCUCAAGCACGAAAGCGUGGGGAUCAAACAGGAUUAGAUACCCUGGUAGUCCACGCCGUAAACGAUGAUUACUAGUUGUAUGCGAUAUACCGUAUGUGACUAAGCGAAAGCGAUAAGUAAUCCACCUGGGGAGUACGCCGGCAACGGUGAAACUCAAAUGAAUUGACGGGGUCAUAGCUGUUUCCUG
rnacentral:rRNA from 1 species